UACGGAGGGUGCAAGCGUUAUCCGGAUUUAUUGGGUUUAAAGGGUCCGUAGGCGGAUUAAUCAGUCAGUGGUGAAAUCUCAUAGCUUAACUAUGAAACUGCCAUUGAUACUGUUAGUCUUGAGUGAUGUUGAAGUUGCUGGAAUGUGUAGUGUAGCGGUGAAAUGCUUAGAUAUUACGCAGAACACCAAUUGCGAAGGCAGGUGACUAAACAUUAACUGACGCUGAUGGACGAAAGCGUGGGGAGCGAACAGGAUUAGAUACCCUGGUAGUCCACGCCGUAAACGAUGGAUACUUGCUGUUGGGUUUUCGGACUCAGUGGCUAAGCGAAAGUUAUAAGUAUCCCACCUGGGGAGUACGUUCGCAAGAAUGAA
rnacentral:rRNA from 1 species